rnacentral:lncRNA from 10 species
CUCUAGACUUACUGCACAUACAGCUCCCUUCCUAGGCUCUUCCUUCAUCAUUAUACUACAAAGUCUCUUAAUUUCUUUAUUCUGUAUUAAUCCACUGUUUCCUGUAUGCUAUAGCUCACUAGUUCUAAAGUGUCUAUGGAUCAACAACAGGACCACCUGAGAAUUUAAUAGAAAUGCAAUUUCUUAGGCCCUACCCUAUAAUCACCCACUGAAUCAGAAAUCUUGAAUGUGGAGUCCAACAAUUUGCUUUAACAAGCCCUCCAGUAAUUCUGAUGCACAUGACAGUUUAAAACACUGUCAUCAAUUAUUUUUAAACUUACUCUCUUGCUGUGGUUAGAAGAACAUCUUCCAGUAGUUUUGCAAAGGGUACGGCAAAGGUAAAUUUUGAGAACUUUCAUUUCUGAAAAUGUUCCUUAUCAAAAUUAUAUUCUUUAUAAAAAUGACAAAGCAAAGGGCAUAUAAUUGUGGGAAGCUACACAUAUACUCUUAAUCGAUAGUUUAACUUGGUAAAGAAGUCUAAAGUUAGAAUUGUCUUUCAACAUUUUAAGGUAUUGCUCCAGUGUCUCCUAGCUUGUAAAAUUUCACAGUGUGCCUUAAUGUGAAUCUGUUCUCAUCCCUUGUGCUGAGUUUUUAGUGGACUCUUUCAAAAUGAAAACUCACAUUUUCAGUUCUGGGAAAUGUCCUUGAAGAAUCUGGUUACUUCCUUGUUUGGUUUGUUUUUCCUGGACUAUCUGGAACUCCUAUUAUUUGGAAGUUGAACCAUCUGGAUUUGUCCUUUAUCUUCUUUCUCCAGUUAUCUACUAUUUUAGUUUUCUGCUCUAUUCUCUGGAUGAUUUCUUUCAACUUUAUUUUCCAACACUUCUAUUAAGAUUUUCAUUUCUAUUACCAUCUCCAUUUGCAAGAAUUCCUGAUCAUCUAAAUACUUUGCACCUUGUUCCUGUAUCAUUUGUACCAUAUCUUCUCUCAUCUAAGGAUACUAAUGAUAAUUUAGGGGGAUGUGUUUAUCUUACAUAGUCUAUCCAAGUUGCUAUUUUUAUUUCUUUCAUGUUAGAAGUUUCUUUCAUCCUUUGUUCUGUUCAUAUUUAAGUGUGGGACACUAAUAAAGGUAACAAUAUAGGCAAUAACUGUUUGACUUUGGACUUCACUGUAGGGUCAUCUGGCCAGACUAUUUAGUUGAGAAACCCACAAUGUCAGUGUCUUUCAGUCUUUCCUCUUGGCUCUAUCAGAUUCCCUAGAGAAUAAUCUUUCAAACUCCAACCUGAGUUGGAGUUCCAACCCCACGAUCAGCUGUUGGAAGUGAAGAAGCAAGGCUGGGAGUCUCGACACUCAGUAUGUAAGCAUUUAGUUUACAUUCAGUCACAGCAUUCAGCAUGUAAACAAUCAGUUUACCCCUUCCUUCAGGUACAAAGACCUGCCCCAAUUAUUCUUGGAAAUCUUCUAUUUUACUCUUUCUAAUGAAGAAAUCUCUACUCUCCUCUUCUGGUAGGGAAGGAGUGUUUGCCCAGUUACCCACAGUGGAGUAGGGGAUCUGGGGCUUUUGUUUCUUCAACAGAUUUUCAACUGAAAGUUUUUUUUAGCCCUACCUGAAGUUCUGCAAGUACCUGUGCCUAUUCCUGAGCCUUUUGGGGGAUUCUUGCAAUAAACUGGGUUGCGAGCUUAAGAUUAAACUUCUCUGAAUCUAUUAAAUCAGUUACCUUCACCCAUCCCUUCUCUAGUUUCCAAAUUGUUACUAUAAUCAAGUACAGGGACCCACCCCUCCCUAUCAGUUAUUAAUACGAACCCUUUAUAUUUUCAAUGGGAGUUUCUUUUAAAAAAUUCCUUUACUGUCACUUUAGUGAGGUUGGGUAGAAAGUGAUGGCAGAUCCAUCACAGGAAUUUGCUAUCCUUACCUUGAUGCUCCCUUCAAUCUUUAAAUAAUCUGAGAAGCAUGGAUGGCAACCCCCUUUUACAGAUGAGGGAAACGGUUUGGGUUAAUCAACUGCCCAAAAUCAGCUAACUGGCAAGUGGUAUUCUGAGCUGGGUUUCUGAGCCAGGAUUUGAUACCAGGUUUUCUAAUCUCAAAGCCUCUCCAAUUUUUCCACAUGCUUAUAACUAUAUUCCAUAACACAUAAUUUUACGGUUACUUGUGUUUUUUAAUAUCCCACCUCCAUGUAGUCUCUCAAACUGAAGCAAAAGUCAGGUGCUUUAUAUUUCUUUUGUAUCUCUUGAAGCAAUUAAAAUGGUGUUGAACACAUACAUAUCCCUUUCCUAUAACCUUUUGUACUUUAUCAUAAUUCAAUAACCUGUACUUUAUCAAUAAUAACACUGUACUUUAUCAUAAUUCUUAUCACCUGUACUGCAAUGGCAUGUUUACUUUUCUAUUUAUCUCACACUCAUCUGGUAAGCUCUAGAGGGAAAAGACCAUGUCUACUUUAUAUUCACAGUGUCUGCACACAAUAAGUACUCAAUACAAAGUAAAUAAUAUUGUCAAGGAGGACUGGAGACAAAAAUGUACUCAGUAAAUAUUUGCUGUAUGAACAAUUCAAAAAAUUAAAGCUGAACUUUAUUAAAAUUCCAUAUAUCAGUGAACAGCUUUGGGUAUCAAACUGCCAUCUCCUGUAUAGCAAUUUUAAUAAAGUCAAUGGUGCAAAUCAGAUAGAAAAUACUACAUAUUUAGACUUGAGUUCUGAAAGUUUUGUUAUAAUUACAAUGUCAAGGGAUCAUCUCAUAUUAAAUAAUGUCUGAAAGACAACUUAAAUUCAUGACCCAUAUUCCUCUGCUUUUCAUUCUGGAGGGAAAAUUUCAAAGUCUUCAUUUGUAAAAUUUUAAAAUGUUUUAAAAAUGUCAAAUAGUUUCCACUUAUUCUGAUUAGAGAUGUCAGUUCAUGCUUAUUUAAUCUCUAAAAAUUCUGGACCAUUAACCGUUCAUAUUUGGCAACACAGUUAAAACAGUGCACCCUAAGACUUCUACUGCGGCUUUAUAUAUCACAAACUAAAACCUUUUUUAAAAAUCAAAACUGUUAUGCUCUUUAAAGGAAAAAAGCAACAAUAAAAUCUUCCUUAUCUACUUUAACACUAUACAAUUUUUAGCUACACGACUUAAUUGUUUUUACUGGGGAGACGGUUCAUGAGAAUUUUACAUUAAGACAAAUCUAAUGCAAGACAGGCCUUAUUAUUUACUACCAAGGCAUGAACCUGAGGUGGCUCUCUAAGCCUCAAUUUUCUCACUUAUAUAAUGGGGGUAAAAUAGUAGCAAUCUCAUAGGGUUUUGGUGGGAGGAGACAAUGCAUGUAAAGUGCUUACACAGUGAAAGCUCAAUAACUGCUUGCUACUAAAUGCACCUAGCAAUAAAAUCUUGUAUAAGGCUUGCCAUGUACAAGCGCUACUCUAAGACCUUUAUACAUACUGAUUUUUUCAAUCCCCACAACUAUGACAGAGAUAGAUAUUACUAUUAUCUUCAUUGUACAGGUGAGAAGCUGAAGCGGAAAGUUUCACAACUUGCCAAAGGUUAGGCAGUUACGAAGAGAGUAGUUAGAUUUGAAUUGCAAUCAGUCUGGCGGUAGAGUCCUUACCCUUAACCAUUGCACUAUAUUCCAUCUGCUGAAUUGAUAAGCUUUGUUAGGAAAGAAGAAAAGAGAGGCCUGGGCAGUCUUGGUAAUGUCGAAUGGUUUGAGAUGUUAAGGAGCACCCGAAUAUCUCAGAAUAGAGCUAAC